CUGUUAUCCCUAAAGUAACUUAAUUUUUUAAUCAUUAUUAAUAGAUCAAUAAUUCAUAAAUUAAUGUUAUUUAAAAAUUAAAAGUUAUUUAAAUUUUAAUAUCACCCCAAUAAAAUAUAACAAUUUUUAAAAAUAAAAAUAUUCUAAAAAAUUCUUAAAAAUAAUUAUAUAAAGAUUUAUAGGGUCUUCUCGUCUUUUAAUUAUAUUUUAGCUUUUUAACUAAAAUAUAAAAUUCUAUAAUAAAUUUUUAUGAAACAGCUUAUACUUCGUCCAACCAUUCAUUCCAGC
rnacentral:rRNA from 1 species